GAACACUGAACCCUGCAGCUCUCCAUAGACUGAACACCGAACCCUGCAGCUCUCCAUAGACUGAACACCGAACCAUCCAGCUCUCCAUAGACUGAACACCGAACCAUCCAGCUCUCCAUAGACUCAAUACUGAACCCUGCAGCUCUCCAUAGAAUGAACACCGAACCCUGCAGCUCUCCAUAGACUGAAUACUGAACCAUCCAGCUCUCCAUAGUCUGAACACUGAACCCUGCAGCUCUCCAUAGACUGAACACAGAACCCCGCAGCUCUCCAUAGACUGAACACCGAACCAUCCAGCUCUCCAUAGACUGAAUACUGAACCCUGC